rnacentral:rRNA from 1 species
UACGUAGGGCGCAAGCGUUUGUCCGGAAUUAUUGGGCGUAAAGAGCUCGUAGGCGGCUUGUCACGUCGGAUGUGAAAGCCCGGGGCUUAACCCCGGGUCUGCAUUCGAUACGGGCUAGCUAGAGUGUGGUAGGGGAGAUCGGAAUUCCUGGUGUAGCGGUGAAAUGCGCAGAUAUCGGGAAGAACACCCGUGGCUAAGGCGGCUCUCUAGUACGGUACUGACGCUGAGACGCGAAAGCGUGGGGAGCGAACAGG